rnacentral:rRNA from 1 species
GAUGAACGCUGGCGGCGUGCCUAAUACAUGCAAGUCGAGCGAACAGACGAGGAGCUUGCUCCUCUGACGUUAGCGGCGGACGGGUGAGUAACACGUGGAUAACCUACCUAUAAGUCUGGGAUAACUUCGUGAAAACGGAGCUAAUACCGGAUAAUAUAUUGAACCGCAUGGUUCAAUAGUGAAAGACGGUUUUGCUGUCACUUUUAGAUGGAUCCGCGCCGCGUUAGCGAGUUGGUAAGGUAACGGCUUACAAAGGCAACGAUGCGAAGCCGACCUGAGAGGUGAUUCGGCACCACGGAAACUGGACACCGGUCCAACUCCCACGGGGGGCCAGCGGGAGGAAUACUGCCGCAAGGGGCGAAGGCCUGUCGGAGCAACGCCGCGUGGUGGAUGAAGGUCUUCGGUUCGUAAAACUCUGUUAUGAGAAAAGAAAAAAUGUGUAAGUAACCAUGCACUUCUGGACGGAACCAAAUCAGAAGGCCCCGCCUAACUACGU